rnacentral:rRNA from 1 species
UGCUUUACACAUGCAAGUCGAACGGAUUAAAGAGCUUGCUCUUUAGUUAGUGGCGAACGGGUGAGUAAUAUAUCGGAACAUAUCCGGAAGUGGGGGAUAACGUAGCGAAAGUUACGCUAAUACCGCAUAUGCCCUGAGGGGGAAAGGGGGGGAUCGCAAGACCUCUCGCUUUCGGAGUGGCCGAUAUCGGAUUAGCUAGUAGGCGGGGUAAUGGCCCACCUAGCCUACGAUCUCUAGCUGGUCUGAGAGGAUGAUCAGCCACACUGGAACUGAGACACGGUCCAGACUCCUACGGGAGGCAGCAGUGGGGAAUAUUGGACAAUGGGCGAAAGCCUGAUCCAGCCAUACCGCGUGAGUGAAGAAGGCCUUCGGGUUGUAAAGCUC